UGGGGAAUAUUGCGCAAUGGGGGCAACCCUGACGCAGCAACGCCGCGUGAUUGAAGAAGGUCUUCGGAUUGUAAAAAUCUUUUAUCAAGGACGAAGAAGUGACGGUACUUGAUGAAUAAGCUCCGGCUAACUACGUGCC
rnacentral:rRNA from 1 species